GAUGAACGCUAGCGAUAGGCUUAACACAUGCAAGUCGAGGGGCAGCAUUAUUUUAGCUUGCUAAGAUAGAUGGCGACCGGCGCACGGGUGCGUAACGCGUAUGCAACCUGCCUGUAAUUAGGGAAUAACCCGGUGAAAGUCGGACUAAUACCCUAUAUUCUUCUUUCUCCGCAUGGAGGCGGACGGAAAGAUUUAUUGAUUACAGAUGGGCAUGCGUCCCAUUAGCUGGUUGGUAAGGUAACGGCUUACCAAGGCAACGAUGGGUAGGGGGACUGAGAGGUUGACCCCCCACACUGGUACUGAGACACGGACCAGACUCCUACGGGAGGCAGCAGUGAGGAAUAUUGGUCAAUGGGCGAGAGCCUGAACCAGCCAAGUCGCGUGAAGGACGACGGUUCUAUGGAUUGUAAACUUCUUUUGUAGAGGAAUAAUGGCAGCUACGUGUAGCUGAGAUGCAUGUACUCUACGAAUAAGUAUCGGCUAACUCCGUGCCAGCAGCCGCGGUAAUACGGAGGAUACGAGCGUUAUCCGGAAUUACUGGGUGUAAAGGGCGUGUAGGCGGCACUGUAAGUCAGAUGUGAAAUCUCCCGGCUCAACCGGGAGCGUGCAUCUGAUACUGCAGUACUUGAGUGAUAGAGGGGAAAGCGGAAUUCCUAGUGUAGCGGUAAAAUGCGUAGAUAUUAGGAGGAACACCAGUGGCGAAGGCGGCUUUCUGGCUAUUAACUGACGCUGAGGCGCGAAAGCGUGGGGAGCAAACAGG
rnacentral:rRNA from 1 species